rnacentral:rRNA from 1 species
AUUGAACGCUGGCGGCAGGCCUAACACAUGCAAGUCGAAUGGUAACAGGAAACAGCUUGCUGUUUCGCUGACGAGUGGCGGACGGGUGAGUAAUGUCUGGGAAACUGCCUGAUGGAGGGGGAUAACUACUGGAAACGGUAGCUAAUACCGCAUAACGUCGCAAGAUCAAAGAGGGGGACCUUCGGGCCUCUUGCCAUCAGAUGUGCCCAGAUGGGAUUAGCUAGUAGGUGGGGUAACGGCUCACCUAGGCGACGAUCCCUAGCUGGUCUGAGAGGAUGACCAGCCACACUGGAACUGAGACACGGUCCAGACUCCUACGGGAGGCAGCAGUGGGGAAUAUUGCACAAUGGGCGCAAGCCUGAUGCAGCCAUGCCGCGUGUAUGAAGAAGGCCUUCGGGUUGUAAAGUACUUUCAGCGGGGAGGAAGGGAGUAAAGUUAAUACCUUUGCUCAUUGACGUUACCCGCAGAAGAAGCACCGGCUAACUCCGUG